CCGGCCGCCUCUAGGGAGGAGCUUCUGGGCGGCAAAGCGGCUGAAGGAGUGGCGUUACGAUACGUUUCACUCGCUGUUGCAGAAAUCUUGAGAUACUAACGUUUUCUGCCUUACUCACAGUCUUAAAUACUUUGGUUUAUUGUUGUGGUUUCUUGCCCUUUGUUCUCUGGGAUGUUAAUGCUAUUUCUUCAGACGAACCAAACAGUUUUAGGGAACUUACGCCACGUUCUUGCCUUCUUUGAGGGGACGCCUCCGUGAUUUACGUAGCCAGAUUGCGCUAUUUGACUCAAUUUGGCUGAAAGCCUUUAGACGUCUUUGUAUUCUUGGCGCCCGGAGACAAUUCCACUUACACAGUCCAUUAAGCACUUGUUGGAACAGUUUCAAUUUGAGAAAUUUUGCAAAAGAUUUUGGUUUUAACAGCAUGUGGCAAAAUCUCAAAUUUAUUUUCCAUACGUUUAACAUAGGUUUUUUUUUUUUUUUUUUGAGUCUCUCAUAACUCUUGGACAUUUCUUUUAUUUUCCACUAAUACAAAUUUUUUUAAAAUUUUAAUCUCUCAAAACUCUUGGCCUAACUCUUGUUUGUUUCCUAGUUGUCCAGUGAUAAAUGUGGCUUCAACAAUGCCAGGGUAGACUCUGCAGUUUGCGAUCGUUGUACCUAUAUUUCUAGGCAUACUCCGUUUCCACGGAUCUUGUCACCAGAGCACCCUGCUUUAAGAGGGAGAAAAAUCUAUCAAAGUAUAGCAAUAGUGUGUAUUCUUCUAAGAAGGUCUCUCAGUCAUGUGCGGCUCUUUGUGACCCCAUGAUCUGCAGCACACCAGGCUCCUCUGUCCAUGGGGAUUCUUCAAGCAAGAA